rnacentral:rRNA from 1 species
AGAGUUUGAUCAUGGCUCAGAUUGAACGCUGGCGGNNNGCUUACACAUGCAAGUCGAACGCGAAAGGGGGCAACCCCGAGUAGAGUGGCGAACGGGUGAGCAAUACAUCGGAACACGUCCUGUAGCGGGGGACAACCUCGAGAAAUCGAGGCUAAUACCGCAUACGAUCUACGGAUGAAAGUGGGGGACCGCAAGGCCCCACACUAUAGGAGUGGCCGAUGCCGGAUUAGCUAGUUGGUGGGGUAACGGCCUACCAAGGCGACGAUCCGUAGCUGGUUUGAGAGAACGACCAGCCACACUGGGACUGAGACACGGCCCAGACUCCUACGGGAGGCAGCAGUGGGGAAUUUUGGACAAUGGGCGAAAGCCUGAUCCAGCCAUGCCGCGUGAGUGAAGAAGGCCUUCGGGUUGUAAAGCUCUUUCGGCCGGGACGAAAUGGCGCGGGGUAACAUCCCGCGUCGAUGACGGUACCGGAAGAAGAAGGACCGGCUAACUACGUGCCAGCAGCCGCGGUAAUACGUAGGGUCCAAGCGUUAAUCGGAAUUACUGGGCGUAAAGCGUGCGUAGGCGGUCUCGCAAGUCCGAUGUGAAAUCCCCGAGCUUAACUUGGGAACUGCGUUGGAAACUAUGAGGCUAGAGUGCGGCAGAGGGGGGUGGAAUUCCAGGUGUAGCAGUGAAAUGCGUAGAGAUCUGGAGGAACACCGAUGGCGAAGGCAGCCCUCUGGGCUAGCACUGACGCUGAUACACGAAAGCGUGGGGAGCAAACAGGAUUAGAUACCCUAGUAGUCC